AGCCUCAGUCCUCGAAGGAGCCCUUCUCCACGUAGAACAACCCCUUCUAGGGAUGCUAGUCCGGAUGGACGUAAUCACAAUGACCGGUCUCCAACUCCAAAGAGUAUCUCCCCGCGGGGUAGAUGUGCUGGCUCUCGCAGCCCCUUGCCACGUUCUGAUGCUGAUGAUUAAGGAGCAAGGGAGGAGGCCACGGUUGUAAUCUGGCUCUGGUCGAUGCUGCGUAUCAGGACAUUCCCAAGUGACUGAUCCUUCCAUCUGUAUUCUGCUUGCUAGAACUGGUUGGCCAGACUUAUUUAUAAGUUGGGUCCAUGAAAAGUCAAUGUGGCUGAAUCACUAGACGAUGCAGCAGCUGUUGAUGCUGUUAUAUUUGCUGUUGGUUGUAAUAUUGUUGCCGUUCACAAAAUAGUAUUUCUUCGCUGAAUGGCAAGGAGAUGCAGCAGUUGUAGAUGCUGUUUUAACUUGGCUGCUUAUAAUUUGUUGCUGGUGACAUACUACUGUUUGUUGGUUGAAUGCAAGCAGAUGCAGCAGCUGUUGGUGCUGUUUUAGCUUUGCUGUUGUAUUUUUGUUGCUGGUGACAAAUUACAUUUUCUAUACAAAUGUUCAGGAUGGUCAUGAUCGGUAAGGAUAAGAAACUUCUGAAUUACUGAAUUAACACUAGGUUUAUGCCUUUGGCCUGACAGUCAUUUCGUUUUUCUGUCUUAACUUCAUAAUCUGCUCUGAGGAGGUGUUAACUGUGAUCAUCUUAAAGAUGAAAGGAAUCCACAUGUCUAAGUGUAGCAGUUGAAGUUGAUUCCAGGUCGAGAUUUGUUAUACCGAGUAGAGAUUUCAAUAUCAGACCAAAUCAAUGAGUUCAUGGGUAGUAGUUGUUUCAUCAUAAACAUCUUGCUGACUUAAUUUUUUAUUUAUCUUAAAAAGGAUAAAUAAUUAUUGAAUUUCCCUAUCUGUAAAUACUUUGUUCCAGUGUCUUUAUUUGCUUUAUG